GGACUAGAGUCUUUUGAUUUGAGGUCCUUGGUUUAUAACCUUGAAAUUGAGCUCAAGGUCAUAUGCUAAUUAAACGUUCUAGAUUUUGACCUUUGCUUUUAUCUCAUAUGUACACAUAAUAAAGGAAACUACAAAAACUACAAAUCAUUAAUAAAAAAUAAAUGGCUUAAACGAAAACGUCAAAACAAAAGUUUAUUAUCGACAACACAGAACAAUAAAGUCCAGCAUCAUGAAACAAUCUUAGUGCUUAAGACCAUCUUCAGAUCGUCUUAUUUGCCAAGAGAGUAUCUUGAAGUAGUCUUAGAAUGAUUGACCGCCCU
rnacentral:lncRNA from 1 species